rnacentral:rRNA from 1 species
GAUGAACGCUGGCGGCGUGCCUAAUACAUGCAAGUCGAGCGAACGGACGAGAAGCUUGCUUUUCUGAUGUUAGCGGCGGACGGGUGAGUAACACGUGGAUAACCUACCUAUAAGACUGGGAUAACUUCGUGAAACAGGAGCUAAUACCGGAUAAUAUUUUGAACCGCAUGGUUCAACAGUGAAAGACGGUCUUGCUGUCACUUAUAGAUGGAUCCGAGCUGCAUUAGCUAGUUGGUAAGGUAACGGCUUACCAAGGCAACGAUGCAUAGCCGACCUGAGAGGGAGGUCGGCCAGACUGGAACUGAGACAGGGUCCAGACUCCUACGGGAGGCAGCAGUAGGGAAUCUUCCGCAAUGGGCGAAAGCCUGACGGAGCAACGCCGCGUGAGUGAUGAAGGUCUUCGGAUCGGAAAACUCUGUUAUUAGGGAAGAACAUAUGUGUAAGUAACUGUGCACAUCUUGACGGUACCUAAUCAGAAAGCCACGGCUAACUACGUG